rnacentral:rRNA from 1 species
CACAGACAACCAGGAUGUUGGCUUAGAAGCAGCCACUCAUUCAAAGAGUGCGUAAUAGCUCACUGGUCGAGUGAUCCUGCGCCGAAGAUUUCCGGGGCUAAAACUUACUACCGAAGCUACGGCAUCAGUAAUGAUGGGUAGGGGAGCUUCCCAUACGGGUUGAAGCAUGACCGUAAGGACAUGUGGACAGUAUGGGAGUGAGAAUGUUGGCAUGAGUAGCGAGAUGUGGGUGGGAAUCCCACAGGCCGUAAACCCAAGGUUUCCAGGGGAAGGUUCGUCCGCCCUGGGUUAGUCGGGACCUAAGCUGAGGCCGAAAGGCGUAGGUGAUGGACAACAGGUUGAUAUUCCUGUACUACCGAUAACCAUUUGAGAGAUGGGAUGACACAGUAGGAUAAGCUAAGCACACUGUUGGUUAUGUGUGCCCAAGCAUUGAGGCAGUCAAAGUAGGCAAAUCCGCUUUGAUAAUGCUGGGAUGUGAUGGGGAGCGAAAUUUAGUAGCGAA